AGUGAACGCUGGCGGUAGGCCUAACACAUGCAAGUCGAACGGCAGCACAGUAAGAGCUUGCUCUUACGGGUGGCGAGUGGCGGACGGGUGAGGAAUACAUCGGAAUCUACUUUUUCGUGGGGGAUAACGUAGGGAAACUUACGCUAAUACCGCAUACGACCUACGGGUGAAAGCAGGGGAUCUUCGGACCUUGCGCGAUUGAAUGAGCCGAUGUCGGAUUAGCUAGUUGGCGGGGUAAAGGCCCACCAAGGCGACGAUCCGUAGCUGGUCUGAGAGGAUGAUCAGCCACACUGGAACUGAGACACGGUCCAGACUCCUACGGGAGGCAGCAGUGGGGAAUAUUGGACAAUGGGCGCAAGCCUGAUCCAGCCAUACCGCGUGGGUGAAGAAGGUCUUCGGGUUGUAAAGCCCUUUUGUUGGGAAAGAAAAGCAGCAGGUUAAUACCCCGCUGUUCUGACAGUACCCAAAGAAUAAGCACCGGCUAACUUCGUG
rnacentral:rRNA from 1 species